UGAGGGUGGCUCAGUGGUAGAGUGCUUGCCUAGCAUGCAUGAAGCCCUAGGUUCGAUCCCCAGCACUGCAA
rnacentral:tRNA from 1 species